AGUGAACGCUGGCGGUUGGCCUAACACAUGCAAGUCGAACGGCAGCACAGUAAGAGCUUGCUCUUACGGGUGGCGAGUGGCGGACGGGUGAGGAAUACAUCGGAAUCUACUUUUUCGUGGGGGAUAACGUAGGGAAACUUACGCUAAUACCGCAUACGACCUACGGGCGAAAGCAGGGGAUCUUCGGACCUUGCGCGAUUGAAUGAGCCGAUGUCGGAUUAGCUAGUUGGCGGGGUAAAGGCCCACCAAGGCGACGAUCCGUAGCUGGUCUGAGAGGAUGAUCAGCCACACUGGAACUGAGACACGGUCCAGACUCCUACGGGAGGCAGCAGUGGGGAAUAUUGGACAAUGGGCGCAAGCCUGAUCCAGCCAUACCGCGUGGGUGAAGAAGGCCUUCGGGUUGUAAAGCCCUUUUGUUGGGAAAGAAAAGCAGCAGGUUAAUACCCCGCUGUUCUGACGGUACCCAAAGAAUAAGCACCGGCUAACUUCGUG
rnacentral:rRNA from 1 species